UCACUCUAAUUUUGAUGUUUGGUUCUUCCCAGAAUUACUCCUACUAUUUGAUGCAUAUAAGAUGAAACCGUGGGUCAUCCCAAUCAAAUUACUUCUUUUAAAUUUGAAUAGAAAUAAAAAUAUUAGUGAAAAUAAAAACUUCACUGGAAAAGAAAAAAGAGAUCUUUUUAUGUA